CCCAAGAAGCUAGGACUGCAGGAGCAUACACUGUGCCCAGCUAUUUUUAUUUAUUUUUAAUUUUAGGACUCCACAUAUAACCCCUGGUGAACAGCACAAGGAACUGUUAAAAAAAGUAUUGGUUAUUGUACCAGAUACUGAAGGAUGACUGUCAUCUACAGGGAGGAGUUCUGAGAAGACAAAGAAGAUGGGAUCUGAAGCACAGGAAAAUAAUUUGGCCCCAGUUAGGAGGAAGGGCAGCUCCCCCAUUAAAACAGGAGGGAAGGAGGACAGAAUGACUCAGAAAGCCUCUUCUCUACCCACCCAAACUGGGACACCAUUGUAUGGACCCCACCUGAAGUGUUCCAAAGAAGACCACCUGUACUGACUAUCAGAUCUGAGAGAAGUGAACCGCUUUCCCACUGGAGGGUGAUGCCACCUGGGCUGGUUCUGGUUAAAAGGCGGUGGCCUCGUGUUUGCUAGCAGCGUGGGGUCACAAGGAACUGACAGAGAAAGACUCCUAUGGCCAUUUUGUUCCCCUUCCCUGCCAGUAUGUGACAAGAGAGCCCCUAGUAUAAAUGUAAGUGCAUCUGCAUGUGUGUUGGUGUGUGUGUUUGUUGCAUUAUGUUUAUUUUAUUUACUUAUCUAUUUUUUAAG